rnacentral:rRNA from 1 species
GAUGAACGCUGGCGGCGUGCUUAACACAUGCAAGUCGAACGGAAAGGCCCAAGCUUGCUUGGGUACUCGAGUGGCGAACGGGUGAGUAACACGUGGGUGAUCUGCCCUGCACUUCGGGAUAAGCCUGGGAAACUGGGUCUAAUACCGGAUAGGACCACUUCUUGGAUGUUGUGGUGGAAAGUUUUUUCGGUGUGGGAUGAGCUCGCGGCCUAUCAGCUUGUUGGUGGGGUAAUGGCCUACCAAGGCGUCGACGGGUAGCCGGCCUGGGAGGGUGUACGGCCACAUUGGGACUGAGAUACGGCCCAGACUCCUACGGGAGGCAGCAGUGGGGAAUAUUGCACAAUGGGCGCGAGCCUGAUGCAGCGACGCCGCGUGGGGGAUGACGGCCUUCGGGUUGUAAACUCCUUUCGCUAGGGACGAAGCGUUUUGUGACGGUACCUGGAGAAGAAGCACCGGCUAACUACGUG